AUUGGAUCUUUCUAGUGCUUCUCCAUUCCUUCAUCUUCGAGCUUACUCCACUCUGCCAUCCUUUGUUUAAUCGAUGAAAAUCUUUCACCUCUUGCCUGUGUGACUCUCAUUUUGGCUUCGGCUCUGUCUCCUAACGGGUUCUCCAGCUCGUGAAAACUCAUCUUGUCACUCCUCCGAGAGAAUUUCAUCCAGCUUUCAAAUUACUUCUUAUUUAUGUUGCAUUUUUAACUUUCUUAUUUAUUUUUUACUUUUUUUCUUCGAUGUGUUUGAUGUGAGAUCUAUCCAACUAACCAUUGUCUUGACUUUCCAUUGUUUAAGCAAUAGUUGGGUGGUCAAGGAGUUGAGGAAGUUGAAGAAGCCCAAGCAAGCUCUUGAGGAGUAUUGUCUGUGGAGGCUGUGCUGCUUAGGACAUGUUGAAGUUGCAAUGGAGUGUAGCCACACUUUGAGCAAAUGCAUUUAUGUUUAAUUGUAUAAUGUAAUUUAGCUUCAUUCCCAAACUGGCCAGAAUAGAAGUGGGACAUGAUGGAGUUAUUCCCAUGUACUGUUAAUUAGUCUCUCUUAUUAUAGUUUGUGCCAUUUUGGCACUAAGAUAAAAUGUUAAAGAGUCUUGUGGUUUUUCAUGGUCAAAACAGAUAGGUAUAUUUAUUUAUGCUGGAGUUAGUACCCAGGUUUUGUCUCCAUUGUUUUUUUCUUGAAUGAGAACUCUAAGUGGUACUCAUAUCCUUCAGUUGGAAUAUAGGUUUUAAGUAAUGAAAAUGCCAUUUUUUGA